ensembl:snoRNA U3 Small nucleolar RNA U3
AAGACUAUACUUUCAGGGAUCAUUUCUAUAGUUUGUUACUAGAGAAGUUUCUCUGAACAUGUAGAGCACCGACAAGGAUGCCCU